UAUCAAUACUGGCAUUUGUUAUAUUUCCAUGGUGAUUAUUCGACAGGCUAAAAGGGAAGGCUUAUGUAAAAUGAAAACUCCCCUCCCCUGUAAACAGCACAGUAAAGUUGAAGUAAAGUAUUUGCACAUUAACAGCCAGUUUUAAAAACAGCAUUUCCAUAAAAAUAAAAGCUAGUGAAUACGGCAUUUCAGCAUGCACCCAGGAAUUCUGGCUAAUGAUAUGCAAAUAGGCUGCUAUAAUGCUGUAUUAUGUUAAGUUAUAAUACCAGUUCCAUGCAUUUCCCUAUGUAAGCUUUAAGGGUUUUAGGCCGACCUUCCUGCAUUAUAGCAACAAAAAGAACAAGAUGUUAACAUAAACCAAGCAAGGAGAAGGCUUUCUUGCUCUUCUCUUUCAACAGCAAGGCUAUAAAAAUGCAGAAUGCUGUGCUGUGAUGCACACAUUAAAGGUCACCACUUUGCAUAGAAAGCUAUGGAAAUAUCAUACAGGAAGACCAUGGAAGCCUUGGGAAGCGUUGGAGCCAUAAAAUGCAUUGGAGAGCUAUAGCCAGCCCAGAGGUCUCCAGCUGAAGACCCUUAAAUUAGAUGGGCGAUUGAGAUAAGAAGCAAGGGAAGACCUUAGAUCACCUAGCACUAAUAAGGAAUUAAAGAAGAGAAAAGCUUAGGUAUUAUAUUAUCCCUUUAAGUUAAGUAUUUAAGUUAAGAUUUAAAUUAAGUAAGAGAUCACAAUUACUAGGUUUCAUAUGCCAUGAUGUCAUCCAGAUAUUGGAAUGUUGGGAGCUGUAGUCCCAACAUCUCAACACAGGUUGCCUCCAUAACUCCAGGUUGCCUGUAGAAAUAUGCCACGCCCUAUACAACAAUUCAACAAAUAUGAAGGCUGACCUUCCCCAAGGAGCUUGCAGCCUAUGGAACUGCCACAGCGAAAUCGAUAACUAAAUUACAAGCAUGUGUGUGCGUUAUGCGACUCUCCUAAUCCCAUGAUUUAUCUGCUGCUCUUGUAUCCAGAGGGAAGGAAAAAUUAACAUUUUUACUAACUUCAUUAUUGCACCUUUGAUUUGUAAAUAUUUUCUCCUGAGGCUGCACUAUUACACCGCAGGUUAGAAAAUGCUAAUUGCUUUUCAGGUCCAUAUUAAGAAAGUUACAAUCCCCUUUGUUGUGAGCUGAGUUCUCAACAGGAAACAGGUUUAUGCACACAAACAUAUACUUUCAGCCAGGCACCACCAUCCCCCACAUGACGGCCAACAAAAACAAAUAGUUUUUUUGGUAGUACCGUCCACUCUCUUACCCUUGUGUUUCAUGUAAUAACACAGCAAGAUUUUGUGCAGGUUAUAAGAUACAAUUGGGGGAAUGUAAUAAAAGUCGGUAACGGAAAAAUAUUCGCAAUGCGAAAAGUUAUGCCUCUGUGCGGACAAACUUUCCUUUGCACAAAUUUAAUAUAGGUUUUGCGAACCAGGAAACUGUUUAGCGACCACUCCUGACAGUGAAAGAAGGUUUGCGAAUUUUAUAGUUUGCUCCAGUGCGAAGUGAAUGUAAUAAAACUUACUAAAAAAGUUACGUUUGCUUCAAAAGAUUAUGACACCUUCAAGCACAGUGGGCAAUGUGCAAUGAAUAUUCACAAUGCAAAUGUUUAUUCUUAUUUGUGCAAACUGUUUUGCUCUUUGCAAAUUUCACAUAAAAUAUUAUGCAGAACUAUCUUUUAGAUUGUCAGCUCUUAUGAACACGGUCCUCUUCACCUCCAGUAUUAGUCAGCAUCUGUAUGUAAUCUGUAUGUCAGAUGUGUACACUUUUCUGUUUAUAGUUACUUGUUAUUAUUAGUAAAGAGAAGAUCAUAACACAAUAAACUGUGCAUGCUUGCUGCUUUUUGCAACUGUUUGUUUUCCAUGUAAGAUAUAAAGUAAUAGGGCUGAAAUUAAUAUUAUUAAUAUGUAUUUAUAAAGCGCCUUAAAUUCUGCAGCACUGUACAAUUAAAUAUUUAUCUAUCUAAUCUACAUAUAUCAUAUAUCUAUUUAUCUGUCACUAUUUGUCUCGCUUUCUAUGUAUCUAUCAAUCUAUCUAACUGCCUGCUCAUCGAAAAAUAAAGCACCUGAUGGAUUCUUCUAUUCUGCAGCUGCCCACACCAUAGUGGAUUCCUAUUCAGCUUGAUUGCGUGGCCUAAACUGACUGAUCAGGCUGAGUGUGAAUUAGCCACAUAUGUACUGGCCUUUGGGCAAUCUAUGGGAAUGUAUGGGAAGUGGGUGGGAGGUGCAGCCCCUUCCUGUAGGUCAAUGACCUCUGAUAUGCAACAGUGGGGCUAUCAGAUGACAGGAAUUUUAGUCCAUAGCAACUGAACACUUAUCAGUCACUCCAAAUGGCCAACCAGAGUGGUUAAUUGUGAUGAGUCUGUGAUUGACCAGCUUGAUUGUAAUGAUCUAAAAACUUUUGAAGAUUGGGUAUUCUGGCUGUACUUGCUGGCUGGUAACACCAAUGUAAGUGACAGAAGGCAUCAAAACAACUCUAAAGGAUCAUUCUGACAGUGGAUUAUAGAAAGGGUAUAAGGUGGAGGUUGUAAGUAACAGGAUGUAACUAAAUUAAGAAAUGAUGUCCCCCAGUAGAUGCCUUUAAAGACUCUUUUGUCAGAAAAAAAUGGAAUAUCAGUCAGUAUUUAAAUACAAUAUAUAUGUAUAGAAAGUCCAUCAGUACACAUGCCUUAGGUUCAAGAAUGCAUUUGCUUGGGUUUGUCAGUCUAAUUAAAGGCUCCAUGCAUACAUCUAAUUUGCAUUUAAAGAAUUGAUAACGGUUACCAUCUGCAGAUCUACAGAUGAGGCAUAUUGGGAAAUUCUAUCGUGCAUUCAGUAUGAAGCCAAUUGGGAGUUGUUAGAGAUGUGCUGUGGGUCUCUGAGCACCAAAACAAGCCAGGCAUCAAAAACAAAGAAUAUAUCACUACACACCCACUAACUGAUUAAAAAUAAAAUACUCUUAAUUUAGAAAUUUCAGACCAAUUUUUAUUCAUUUGAAAUCUGGAAUGUGGAACUUGUGCAACUGCUUGAUGUGGCUAAGAAAUAUCUUCUUGAUUCUUGAUAUGUAUUUUAAAGGAGAACUAUCUCAAAAAUAAACUUUAUAAAUAUAAUCAA